rfam:Tupaia chinensis contig237966, whole genome shotgun sequence.
UUACCUGAUGAAAUCUCUGUUCUACUAUUUAUAAAAGAACUUGAAUAUAUUCAUAGCAUGCCACAUAAAAUGAGUGAGAAGUUUUUUAGGGUUGCUAACUUUUUGGUUAAAGUUAUGUGGAAGCAUAUUUCUUUAUGUAU